rnacentral:rRNA from 1 species
UUAAGCGACUAAGCGUACACGGUGGAUGCCCUGGCAGUCAGAGGCGAUGAAGGACGUGCUAAUCUGCGAUAAGCGUCGGUAAGGUGAUAUGAACCGUUAUAACCGGCGAUUUCCGAAUGGGGAAACCCAGUGUGUUUCGACACACUAUCAUUAACUGAAUCCAUAGGUUAAUGAGGCGAACCGGGGGAACUGAAACAUCUAAGUACCCCGAGGAAAAGAAAUCAACCGAGAUUCCCCCAGUAGCGGCGAGCGAACGGGGAGCAGCCCAGAGCCUGAAUCAGUAUGUGUGUUAGUGGAAGCGUCUGGAAAGGCGCGCGAUACAGGGUGACAGCCCCGUACACAAAAAUGCACAUGCUGUGAGCUCGAUGAGUAGGGCGGGACACGUGGUAUCCUGUCUGAAUAUGGGGGGACCAUCCUCCAAGGCUAAAUACUCCUGACUGACCGAUAGUGAACCAGUACCGUGAGGGAAAGGCGAAAAGAACCCCGGCGAGGGGAGUGAAAAAGAACCUGAAACCGUGUACGUACAAGCAGUGGGAGCACGCUUAGGCGUGUGACUGCGUACCUUUUGUAUAAUGGGUCAGCGACUUAUAUUCUGUAGCAAGGUUAACCGAAUAGGGGAGCCGAAGGGAAACCGAGUCUUAACUGGGCGUUAAGUUGCAGGGUAUAGACCCGAAACCCGGUGAUCUAGCCAUGGGCAGGUUGAAGGUUGGGUAACACUAACUGGAGGACCGAACCGACUAAUGUUGAAAAAUUAGCGGAUGACUUGUGGCUGGGGGUGAAAGGCCAAUCAAACCGGGAGAUAGCUGGUUCUCCCCGAAAGCUAUUUAGGUAGCGCCUCGUGAAUUCAUCUCCGGGGGUAGAGCACUGUUUCGGCAAGGGGGUCAUCCCGACUUACCAACCCGAUGCAAACUGCGAAUACCGGAGAAUGUUAUCACGGGAGACACACGGCGGGUGCUAACGUCCGUCGUGAAGAGGGAAACAACCCAGACCGCCAGCUAAGGUCCCAAAGUCAUGGUUAAGUGGGAAACGAUGUGGGAAGGCCCAGACAGCCAGGAUGUUGGCUUAGAAGCAGCCAUCAUUUAAAGAAAGCGUAAUAGCUCACUGGUCGAGUCGGCCUGCGCGGAAGAUGUAACGGGGCUAAACCAUGCACCGAAGCUGCGGCAGCGACGCUUAUGCGUUGUUGGGUAGGGGAGCGUUCUGUAAGCCUGUGAAGGUGUACUGUGAGGUAUGCUGGAGGUAUCAGAAGUGCGAAUGCUGACAUAAGUAACGAUAAAGCGGGUGAAAAGCCCGCUCGCCGGAAGACCAAGGGUUCCUGUCCAACGUUAAUCGGGGCAGGGUGAGUCGACCCCUAAGGCGAGGCCGAAAGGCGUAGUCGAUGGGAAACAGGUUAAUAUUCCUGUACUUGGUGUUACUGCGAAGGGGGGACGGAGAAGGCUAUGUUGGCCGGGCGACGGUUGUCCCGGUUUAAGCGUGUAGGCUGGUUUUCCAGGCAAAUCCGGAAAAUCAAGGCUGAGGCGUGAUGACGAGGCACUACGGUGCUGAAGCAACAAAUGCCCUGCUUCCAGGAAAAGCCUCUAAGCAUCAGGUAACAUCAAAUCGUACCCCAAACCGACACAGGUGGUCAGGUAGAGAAUACCAAGGCGCUUGAGAGAACUCGGGUGAAGGAACUAGGCAAAAUGGUGCCGUAACUUCGGGAGAAGGCACGCUGAUAUGUAGGUGAAGUCCCUCGCGGAUGGAGCUGAAAUCAGUCGAAGAUACCAGCUGGCUGCAACUGUUUAUUAAAAACACAGCACUGUGCAAACACGAAAGUGGACGUAUACGGUGUGACGCCUGCCCGGUGCCGGAAGGUUAAUUGAUGGGGUCAGCGCAAGCGAAGCUCUUGAUCGAAGCCCCGGUAAACGGCGGCCGUAACUAUAACGGUCCUAAGGUAGCGAAAUUCCUUGUCGGGUAAGUUCCGACCUGCACGAAUGGCGUAAUGAUGGCCAGGCUGUCUCCACCCGAGACUCAGUGAAAUUGAACUCGCUGUGAAGAUGCAGUGUACCCGCGGCAAGACGGAAAGACCCCGUGAACCUUUACUAUAGCUUGACACUGAACAUUGAGCCUUGAUGUGUAGGAUAGGUGGGAGGCUUUGAAGUGUGGACGCCAGUCUGCAUGGAGCCGACCUUGAAAUACCACCCUUUAAUGUUUGAUGUUCUAACGUGGACCCGUAAUCCGGGUUGCGGACAGUGUCUGGUGGGUAGUUUGACUGGGGCGGUCUCCUCCUAAAGAGUAACGGAGGAGCACGAAGGUUGGCUAAUCCUGGUCGGACAUCAGGAGGUUAGUGCAAUGGCAUAAGCCAGCUUGACUGCGAGCGUGACGGCGCGAGCAGGUGCGAAAGCAGGUCAUAGUGAUCCGGUGGUUCUGAAUGGAAGGGCCAUCGCUCAACGGAUAAAAGGUACUCCGGGGAUAACAGGCUGAUACCGCCCAAGAGUUCAUAUCGACGGCGGUGUUUGGCACCUCGAUGUCGGCUCAUCACAUCCUGGGGCUGAAGUAGGUCCCAAGGGUAUGGCUGUUCGCCAUUUAAAGUGGUACGCGAGCUGGGUUUAGAACGUCGUGAGACAGUUCGGUCCCUAUCUGCCGUGGGCGCUGGAGAACUGAGGGGGGCUGCUCCUAGUACGAGAGGACCGGAGUGGACGCAUCACUGGUGUUCGGGUUGUCAUGCCAAUGGCACUGCCCGGUAGCUAAAUGCGGAAGAGAUAAGUGCUGAAAGCAUCUAAGCACGAAACUUGCCCCGAGAUGAGUUCUCCCUGACUCCUUGAGAGUCCUGAAGGAACGUUGAAGACGACGACGUUGAUAGGCCGGGUGUGUAAGCGCAGCGAUGCGUUGAGCUAACCGGUACUAAUGAACCGUGAGGCUUAACCUU